CCUAUUUUAUUUUAUUCCGUAUGAAUUUCAUUUUCCUCUUUAAAAACAUCGUUUAACUAGUGGGCAAUUGGGUGAGUCGCCACUUGCGAAAUAAAUAAAUUAAAACGUUAUUCGGUCGAAUUUACAUUGAAAUUCGAGGCGCAGGUGUGAUAAUGGGCAGCCUUUAUAUAAAUAAAUUGCGCAAGAGUUAAC
rnacentral:misc_RNA from 1 species